CCUGCCCCUAGAGGUGUUGCGGAUGUGGUUGUGUGUCACGUAUGCAUCAGUAGGUGGCAGAGAGGAGGGAGGGUAUGUCUUGGCUAAUUGUUCUGACCUGAAUCAUUCUGAACAUCUGAAUGACUAAUAGCCCAACAUU
rnacentral:snoRNA from 2 species